rnacentral:rRNA from 1 species
ACGGAAGGCAGCAGUGAGGAAUAUUGGUCAAUGGGCGAGAGCCUGAACUAGCCAAGUCGCGUGAAGGAUGAAGGUUCUAUGGAUUGUAAACUUCUUUUGUCUGAGGGUAAAGUGAGAGAUGCGUCUCUUAUUGCAAGUAUCAGACGAAUAAGCAUCGGCUAACUCCGUGCCAGCAGCCGCGGUAAUACGGAGGAUGCGAGCGUUAUCCGGAUUUAUUGGGUUUAAAGGGUGCGUAGGCGGGUAAUUAAGUCAGUGGUGAAAGCGUGCGGCUCAACCGUACCGAGCCAUUGAAACUGGUUAUCUUGAGUGUAAACGAGGUAGGCGGAAUAUGACGUGUAGCGGUGAAAUGCUUAGAUAUGUCAUAGAACCCCGAUUGCGAAGGCAGCUUACCAGCAUACGACUGACGCUGAGGCACGAAAGCGUGGGUAUCAAACAGGAUUAGAUACCCUGGUA